ACAGCUGCAAACAGAAAUAGGUGUCCGUUCCGAUGGCAGAGCCAGGAAUAAGCUCAAAGAACAUCUACCCUCAUUCUGUACAAGGGGACCCAAGGCCAGAAGAGUGGCCAUGGAGCAGAAUGAGGUGGACAGCACUGAAGGCCAGCGCUGCCAGUUCCCAGCAGGCACCUUCCCAGGCCUUGUCGCCAACUGGAGGCUGCUGGCCAGUGCAGCUGAGGAAUGAACUCACUGCAGAGAACUGAAGAUCGACCCUGGCAGCCCUUCUGGAACAUCUUCAUCUCAAAGGGGCUCUGUUGGAGAGGCAGGGCCAUAGACUAGAGGACUACACAUCUGGUGUUGGGAAGGUGGGCCCCGAAGCCAGCUAAUGAUGGGUGGACCUUGAGCCGAGAGGUGACAGGAACUGGGGGGAAGUCUGCUGAGUCUCCUGGGCGAAACUGCCCAUUUGAUGUCUUUGGAUGUGUGAGGACCUGCUGUCUAGCGCUGUGGCAGUCAUCUUGUGACCAUGAGGAAACAAGCCCAAGGAGGUAGCCAUGGUGUCAGUCCAGUCUGUUCCUGCUUUCCCAGGAAGGAGCAGGGAGUCACAUCUCCUUCCUUGUGCCUUUCCAGCAGAUGGUCUCUACCCUACAGCGUGAGCUUGCUGAAGGUGUUUGCUCUGCAGCAGACCCCCCCUCCCCCCGAAUCCCAGGCAAGGUACCACGGUGCCACUUCACUUGUCCACUCCUUCUAACACCAGGAGUCCUGCAACAAUGUCGCAGACCGGGAGGCUGUGUAGCCAGCAAGGCACUGCAAAGGGGGCUUGGGUGCCCCCCAUGCCCCACCCCAACCAAGGCAGAAGGAGGCCCCAAGCCAGCUUAGCUGUUCCCCCAUUUCUCCAUCUACUUCUACUGCUGCUGCUACUGGUUCAAAAAAUAAAAUAAACACCAUCUCUGCCAAAAAAAAAAAAAAAGUCGGGGGGGGGGAACAACAAUAAAAAAUUUAAUAUUCCUGAGAUGUAGGUCUUCUCAAACAGGAGGCAGCUGCUAGAGACGAGUUUGGCAGAGGCAGGGGUGGGCUUUUUUUCUAAGUAUUUUCCA